rnacentral:rRNA from 1 species
UACGUAGGGUGCGAGCGUUAAUCGGAAUUACUGGGCGUAAAGUGUGCGCAGGCGGUCGCGCAAGUCGGGUGUGAAAGCCCCGGGCUUAACUUGGGAAUUGCGCUCGAAACUACGUGGCUGGAGUGUGGCAGAGGAAGGUGGAAUUCCAGGUGUAGCGGUGAAAUGCGUAGAGAUCUGGAGGAACACCGAUGGCGAAGGCAGCCUUCUGGGCCAACACUGACGCUCAUGCACGAAAGCGUGGGGAGCAAACAGG